UUUCUCUGCAGGGUGCGUUCGAGAAUGUGUAUGUCACGUAAACUAUAAUGUCGGAUAAAUCCUUGAUUCAUCCGAAUGAUGUACUUAAACACAACUCAGUGUGCAUACAUCUGUCUAUGUCAGCUGUAGUUUAUGCCGUCUCGUCGGCGAACGACUCUAAAAAGGGAUUAUUUUCUUCUUCAAAAAAUAAUUAUUUUUUUUGUACGAAAGAUCUUUUUUUUUUUACUCAAUAGUAACGACAGAUUUUGAGGUUUAAAUAUAGACACAUUCAGACAAUUUCAGACUUUCAGUUGAGACUAAAGUUGAGGACUAAAGUUUACAAGGUACGAUUAUAAUAAAAUGUACCUGCUGUUGUCAUUGUUAAACUUCAAAGAAUACCAUUUUAUUCCAAAAAGGAUUUCGAAUGGAUAUAACAAUAUUCAACUAUAGAAUACCAGAAUAAAACAACAGUGUUGGAUCAUUAGUCAAAGAGAUUGACAAGAAAUUCCAAUCUAGCAUUUCUCUUAUCGCAGAUUCUAAACAACUCACCGUUAUAUGCUCUCGUUCAUGAUUGACAUAUAUCUUACAAAAUUCAGCCGUUAUAAUAUUUAUUGUAAUAUUAACGGCGACGUGGUGCGAACCACGCUAUAAUAAUAAUUAAUGUGUUCCCUCCCCCGUUAUCGAGAAGUACACGACGGGGCAGCUUCGUCGAGCGACGAUAACGCGGUGCGACGUAUCGAAUUGCUUCGACAAAAAAGUAUGUCUUACUCGAGCGAACUGUCACGCUCUCAGGAAUAUCUGAGUUUUCGUAGCUCUAUACCGCUGAGGAAGAUUGUCGUCGAUGCCGAUGGUGCCAAGGGAUGGAAGGUGUACGAUUCCAAUCCAAAAACUAUCAAGUGCCCACUUAUAUGUCUUCCACCAGUUUGUGGUACCGCCGAUAUCUUUUUUAGGCAAUUAUUAGGCCUGGCUGCCAAAGGUUAUAGAGUUAUAUCAGCUGAGCCACCAGUAUAUUGGAGUAUAAAGGAAUGGUGCGAUGGAUUCAGAAAACUAUUGGAUUAUCUGGAACUUGAUAAAGUUCAUCUUUUUGGUGCUUCGUUAGGUGGCUUCCUGGCACAGAAAUUUACAGAAAUAAAUGCGCAUUGUCCUAGAGUAGUAUCUUUAGUUCUGUGCAAUACUUUUACGGAUACAUCUGUAUUUAGUUACAAUGAUUCUGCAGCAGUUUUUUGGAUUUUACCUUCAAUGGUACUAAAGAAAAUGGUAAUGGGAAAUUUUGCAACAGAAAAGGUUGAUGGAGAAAUCAUAGAGGCAAUAGAUUUUAUGGUGGAAAGGCUGGAGAGCUUAACGCAACCUGAAUUAGCAUCUCGUUUAACAAUGAAUUGCAUAAAUUGUUAUGUACAACCUCAAAAGAUAUGUCAUUUACCAGUGACGAUAAUAGAUGUUUUUGAUGAAUAUGCUUUAUCAAAUGCUGUUAGGGAAGAAAUGUAUAAAUGCUAUCCAAAUGCGAAAUUGGCCCACUUGAAAAGUGGUGGAAAUUUUCCAUACUUGAGUCGAUCUGCCGAAGUCAAUUUGCAUUUGCAGAUACAUUUAAGACAGUUUGAGGACACCGAAUAUGCAGCUUCAGAAAAAAUUAAAAUUUAGCAUAAUGCGUUUAUGUUAGGAAAAAUGAAAUAUUAAUUAAAUAAAAAUGGAUUCCACUACUCAUAAACAGAUAUUAUAAAUAAAGACAUCUGUGUCUUUUAUAUCGAUGCUCUUGGGACCUAGUACAUAUUUUAAAGCAGCACGGUUAUGGUGUGCAAAGUAAGAAGUUGACCAUAGUUUGUUAGUCGUCGCCUGACCGGGAGACCGUAUAAGAACUCGCUUGGUAUCGAUUCCUUCUUCAUGUGUACUCGCUCGUGUUUCUCUUUUGCAAUCUCGUAUUACAGGGCCUGUUCUGCCAAGUAUACAUAUAUGGCAUUGGUGUCUCUAUUACUUUCCUUUAAAUUUUUUUCCG